GGCCUGUGAGUGGUUUGCUAGGUGACUUCUCCCAACAAAUCCCACGUGAGGUGAGAUUCACAAAUCUUGCUGUUGUCUUCCUGCCCUGAUGAUGCAGCUCUGGAUGUGCAGCCACCGGACUUGCCCCUCCUGCUUCCCCACUUCAGCAGGCGUCAAGUUCCCAGAUCUCUCCUCCAGCUUCAAUAAUAACAACAGCAUCACUGGAAAAACAGCAGGCAGGAAGAUGACACGCAGGAGCAGUGACAAACAGCUAAACAUCUGACUUGGAGUUAUUAGAGUGUCAUCCCCUGGGCAUGUGACAAACCCCAUGUUAUGGAUCCGUGUGCUAGAGGGAGGAACUGGAAAUGGGGUUGGCACAACCCACAGGCUAUCAAAACAAUGUAGUUUUUCUUAACCCAGAGCGUCAGACCCGCUCUGAGCACGUACUGUACUGCUGUGUCUGCAGCUCACGCAGAGGGACAUUCUGACAGGGAUUUCCCAAGCGCUGCCAGUGCUGUAGCCAUAGAAGCAGGAGAUAAAAAUAUUUGCACAGAACCUGGGGGCAGGGUUUGCAGCCUGUGCUGUACCACACAGCGCUCCUGCUCAACAAUGCUGUUCAGCUAAUUGUAGGUCUGGACUCCCCUGGAUAUUUCUUUCAUUAGUACCUCCCGUGGGAUACCUUACUCCAUUUGUGCCUCCACAGGCUGGCUUUAUCUUUUUUUAAGCCUUUGUUGUGGAUUCAGCAUAUCAAAGCCUCUCUUUGUCAGGACACUUCUACUUUGUACUCCAAAUGGGGAUUAAACUACACAUGGUGUACCUGGAAGCACUUGUGAAUCUGUUCUGCCUGUCCAUCCCUGCCUGGCGUCUCUCCCUUACCCCUCACGACUGGUCUGGUGACUUCAGAGCCAGUCGGGGCACAUUGGUCUUGGAUGAGGGCACAGGAUUAGUCACUGCCACCAAACAAUGUCUAAUUGUGUGUAUGUUUUCCUUUCCUCCAGAAAAGGACUCUGUGUUGUCUAUGCUGCCUCACUGCUCUAUUUUUCUACAGUUUCUUAUUUUUCACAAAAAAAGCCACUCGUUCCUCCCAAACUUGUUGUAUAGCCCAGCCUCAGCUCAAGUGGCUUAAACUCAUACAAAGCCGAGGUGUCACGAGGAGAUUAAGGAACAUACCUUGUGGCAUGAUGAAAAGCAGCAAAUGACAGCAAAAUCCUGCCUUUUCACAAAACACGUGAUCUUUUUUGACUCUGUCCUCGUUUUUGGAUUAUUUCAGAGGAGAGAACUUUGAAUUGCAACAGAUCUGCCAACAAGAGCGAAGUGUCUCCAGUCACUUGUGCCUGGUCUUUGCUUUCUUACACAACCUUCUAUGUUUAAAUAAAGUAGUCUGCUUCUGCUUUUUGUUUGUUUGUUGUAAUCUGGUGUUUUAUUGGGUCUUAUGGGCUCGCCUGAAGUCAGUUUAGUAGGAAACAACCCAUGAGCAAGUGAAGUUAUAUCUAUCAUUAUUGUCACUUCAAAUACUUCAGAUGUCUUGCCAGUAAAAAACCCCUUCAAGGUACCAGCAUAGCACCUGAAAACCACGAGAGAGACAAGCAAAGAAGGAUAUGAGCAGAUGGGAAGGGACUGGAGAGUUAGACAUGGAAAUCAGCAGGAUUUCCCCGGGGAGUAAACAAGAGCCUUCCAGGAAAUGUUCUGCAGCCUGGGGGACACGUCAUGGCUGAACAGGACUUCAGAGAGCAGCUGAUAAAGAAAGAAGACCAGCAUAUUAGGGACAGUGAGCAUUUGGGUACUUCAGUAAGAAGGGCCAUGCAGGUGUUUCAGAAAGAUGUGAUAUCUGUGUCCUGGGCAUUCAUAUCAACAUUAACAUAUACAUCAAUAAAUUCAUGGCUGCUUAUCAUUUGAUAUUUGAUCUCCCUCUGCUUUAAUGUUUUCAAGUGCAGAACCUGGGGCAGAGACAACACUGAUGUAAUUCAACACUCACCUUCUCCUGACUGCCUAACCCAAGAAAACAUUUUACAGGUGGUCCAUACCCAUGUUCAUCCAGUUUGAUCAAUGUUUCUGGAUGGUUCAGCAUAUUUGCAUCGAUCAGGAGAGACUCACAAAUUAUUCUAUAUGGGAAAUGGCUUAAAGGCUUCAAAUGGUCUUACUUAAAUUGGUCUGGUUUUGACAGCAAC